GAUGAACGCUGGCGGCGUGCCUAAUACAUGCAAGUCGAGCGAACGGACGAGAAGCUUGCUUCUCUGAUGUUAGCGGCGGACGGGUGAGUAACACGUGGAUAACCUACCUAUAAGACUGGGAUAACUUCGGGAAACCGGAUCUAAUACCGGCUAAUAUUUUGAACCGCAUGGUUCAAAAGUGAAAGACGGUCUUGCUGUCACUUAUAGAUGGAUCCGCGCUGCAUUAGCUAGUUGGUAAGGUAACGGCUUACCAAGGCAACGAUGCAUAGCCGACCUGAGAGGGUGAUCGGCCACACUGGAACUGAGACACGGUCCAGACUCCUACGGGAGGCAGCAGUAGGGAAUCUUCCGCAAUGGGCGAAAGCCUGACGGAGCAACGCCGCGUGAGUGAUGAAGGUCUUCGGAUCGUAAAACUCUGUUAUUAGGGAAGAACAUAUGUGUAAGUAACUGUGCACAUCUUGACGGUACCUAAUCAGAAAGCCACGGCUAACUACGUG
rnacentral:rRNA from 1 species